GAUGAACGCUGGCGGCGUGCCUAAUACAUGCAAGUCGAGCGAACGGACGAGAAGCUUGCUUCUCUGAUGUUAGCGGCGGACGGGUGAGUAACACGUGGAUAACCUACCUAUAAGACUGGGAUAACUUCGGGAAACCGGAGCUAAUACCGGAUGAUAUUUUGAACCGCAUGGUUCAAAAGUGAAAGACGGUCUUGCUGUCACUUAUAGAUGGAUCCGCGCUGCAUUAGCUAGUUGGUAAGGUAACGGCUUACGAAGGCGACGAUGCAUAGCCGACCUGAGAGGCGGGUCGGCCACACUGGAGCUGGGCCGCGGUCCAGACUCCUACGGGAGGGAGCAGUAGGGAACCUUCCGCAAUAGGCGGAAGCCUGACGGAGCAGCCGCGCGUGAGUGGUGAAGGUGUUCGGAUCGUAAAACUCUGUUAUUAGGGGAGAACAUAUGUGUAAGUAACUGUGCACAUCUUGACGGUACCUAAUCAGGAAGCCACGGCUAACUACGUG
rnacentral:rRNA from 1 species